rnacentral:rRNA from 1 species
CCUAGAGUUUGAUCAUGGCUCCAGAUGAAGGCUGGCGGCAGGCCUUACACAUGCAAGUCGACGGAGCACGGGUACUUGUACUGGUGCGAGCGGCGGACGGGUGAGUAAUACCUAGGAAUCUCCUGGUAGUGGGGGAUAACGUUCGGAAACGGCGCUAACACCGCAUACUUCCUACGGGAGAAAGCAGGGGGACUUCGGCCUUGCGCUAUCAGAUGAGCCUAGGUCGGAUUAGCUAGUUGGUGAGGUAAUGGCUCGCCAAGGCUACGAUCCGUAACUGGUCUGAGAGGAUGAUCAGUCACACUGGAACUGAGACACGGUCCAGCUCCUACGGGAGGCAGCAGUGGGGAAUAUUGGACAAUGGGCGAAAGCCUGAUCCAGCAUGCCGCGUGUGUGAAGAAGGUCUUCGGAUUGUAAAGCACUUUAAGUUGGGAGGAAGGGCCGUUACCUAAUACGUGAUGG